GUAGGUGAACCUGCGGAAGGAUCAUUAAACAUCAUCGGGGAGUUGGAUCCAGAUGGUAGGGCUUCGGUCUUGCUUUCUGCCCUUCUCUUACUGAUUAUACCCAUGUCUUUUGCGUACUAUUUGUUUCCUUGGUGGGCUUGCCUGCCGAUAGGACAUCAUUAAACCUUUUGUAAUUGCAGUCAGCGUCAGAAAAACAUAAUAAUUACAACUUUCAACAACGGAUCUCUUGGUUCUGGCAUCGAGAAGAACGCAGC
rnacentral:misc_RNA from 1 species